rnacentral:rRNA from 1 species
ACGCUGGCGGCAUGCUUUACACAUGCAAGUCGGACGGCAGCACAGAGAAGCUUGCUUCUUGGGUGGCGAGUGGCGAACGGGUGAGUAACAUAUCGGAACGUACCGAGUAGUGGGGGAUAACUGAUCGAAAGAUCAGCUAAUACCGCAUACGUCUUGAGAGGGAAAGCAGGGGACCUUCGGGCCUUGCGCUAUUCGAGCGGCCGAUAUCUGAUUAGCUAGUUGGUGGGGUAAAGGCCUACCAAGGCGACGAUCAGUAGCGGGUCUGAGAGGAUGAUCCGCCACACUGGGACUGAGACACGGCCCAGACUCCUACGGGAGGCAGCAGUGGGGAAUUUUGGACAAUGGGCGCAAGCCUGAUCCAGCCAUGCCGCGUGUCUGAAGAAGGCCUUCGGGUUGUAAAGGACUUUUGUCAGGGAAGAAAAGGCUGUUGCUAAUAUCAGCGGCUGAUGACGGUACCUGAAGAAUAAGCACCGGCUAACUACGUGCCAGCAGCCGCGGUAAUACGUAGGGUGCGAGCGUUAAUCGGAAUUACUGGGCGUAAAGCGAGCGCAGACGGUUACUUAAGCAGGAUGUGAAAUCCCCGGGCUCAACCUGGGAACUGCGUUCUGAACUGGGUGACUAGAGUGUGUCAGAGGGAGGUAGAAUUCCACGUGUAGCAGUGAAAUGCGUAGAGAUGUGGAGGAAUACCGAUGGCGAAGGCAGCCUCCUGGGAUAACACUGACGUUCAUGCUCGAAAGCGUGGGUAGCAAACAGGAUUAGAUACCCUGGUAGUCCACGCCCUAAACGAUGUCAAUUAGCUGUUGGGCAACUUGAUUGUUCAGUAGCGUAGCUAACGCGUGAAAUUGACCGCCUGGGGAGUACGGUCGCAAGAUUAAAACUCAAAGGAAUUGACGGGGACCCGCACAAGCGGUGGAUGAUGU